UGCAUAACGCAUCCAAGGAGUUGGUUCAGACAACUGUAUUUGACCAUUCCAAAUGAGUAUUUUUCGCAAAGAUAAAUAUGAUUUCAUGAGUUAGUUGAGGUAUCAUUUCCCAAUUUCCAAAAUAUUCUGUCAUCUCUUCUAUUCCAAGUUAUACUCUAUGCUUCUCCUUAAUUUUGCCGUCAGCAGAAAGAACAAGAGGCAAGAGAGAACAAAAAAAACCACUCAAAAUUUAUCUAAGAAUGACCCUUACCUAAAAGUUGAUACGACUUUAAUACUGAUCACACAAAGUGGUGCUCUCUCAAAAGAAUCAGGUCUCAAGUCUGAACAUGUCCCUACUCUGUUCCUAUAGCUUUUAAAUUCCUUAGAAUUAAAAACCCGUGUCUUUUUUUGCUCUAAAUUUAUAUGGAUUUGCUUAUUUACUAAAUGAAAAUCAUAGUGAGUUGAUCUCCAAAAGAAAAAAAAAACUUGUGUGUGAGCUGGGUAUAGCUUUUAUUAACCAAUUAAAGUUCUGUUAGUCAUUUGAUUUCAGAUAUGUAAAGUAAAUCCAACUCUGAGUUCUUCUGAAGGUUGAUUUGGAGAUUCGGAUGGCUUUUUUUUUCUCCAGAAACUUGCUGCGUCAAAUUGAAGGUAUGUUUUCCUGCAUCUACUCCUUUUGAGGAUUUACUUUGCGAUCUGCAAUUUUUUUUUUCCUUUUGUGCUUUAUUGGUGUUAGAGUAUGAAUUUAGUCCUUUUGAUUCAGUCACGGAUCUAUUGUGACGUGAUCUACUGUGAUGUGAUGUUUAUCAAUGCUCUGUGAUCCACUCUGCAGGAGUUUCUCGUGACUCUACUUUCUGUAACUUAGGGUCCAUAAGCUUCUAUUAUCUUACCUGCAGUGAAUUAGGACGUCGAAGUCUUCAUUGUUUUAAGUAAAAUUUAUGCAAUUAGGAUUUAAAUAAAAAUACUAUGAGUUACAAUUUUUAUGGUUUAAAUUGUAUCAGAAAUUGUUAUAAAAGGAAAAACAUAUGUCAAACUAUUGAGACAAGGAGUAUUUUGUCAUCAACUUGAAGUUAGAGGUGUUAAAGAUGAACAAGUGUUUCCAUUUGAUUAGCAAUGGGAGGAGAUAGCAUCUAAAGAUGUUCAGUAAUCCUCAAUCUCAUUCUAGAAGUCACAGGUUUCAUAGGAGGAGAUAACUAGUUCUUAGAUUGUUUUAUGUUCAGCACUUGUGAAAAUAAGUGGGAGAUCUGAUGGAUUGAAAAGGAUCUUGCUCCCUUCUUGGGUGCAUGGUUUGCAAAGAAGCGUCUUGUUACCAUCCAACAAGUGUCACAGCACGACCUUUCUGUAGAUUAGCUAUGUAAACAAUUUACAUGUGUGAUUUGUCUCUCCUCAUUCAAAUAAAUCAGAGAUGCUUAGUUGUAGUUGAGGGAAUAGAAACCUUUAUUUUUGUACAUCCGGAAUCUAACCUUUCCCGUUGCCAGUUCUUUUGGGAUUGAGUAAUUCCACAGCUUUAACAUUGUCAUUCUGAAAGCUAAGAGGGAAUCAGUUUUAGAUGGAGCUUGUAUGAGUAAAACUUCUGCGAGCCUUAUCUGUGGGUCGUCAUAGUGGUCUUUAUCGCAGAUGUUGGAGUAGAUGAAUAAAAGACGAAAGGAUCGUGUGGAGUUUUUUUCCAGAAAUUCCAUAGCCUAAUCUUCCAAAUGCUGGUUUUAGUUCUUAUAGAAGAAAACAUCCUUCCUGAAUUUGAUCUUUUUGUCCUUCAGCUUAGAGAAUAUGAAAUCAUGCAAUCUCUCUAAGCUAGACAUUAUUGAUUGACAAAUUCAACUAUUACUCUUUUUCUCUGGAAUCAGCUAUUAGUGUAGAAGAUUUUUAAGGCAAACAUGUAACAGGUUUUGUUUCAUGUCUUUUGUAACAAAGCUAUCACAUUUCUCUGGCAAAUGGAUGUGGAUUUUGAGAGGUUUCAUAAGAACCGGAAUAAAUAAAUAAAAACUGACUCUUUUGCCAUUACAUAUUCACAAGAUAAGUUGGGAGAUCUAUUUGAACGGACAUAUAUUAAUCCUUGUUCCAUCCCCGACUUUUGAGCAGGUCAACAUUUUGCCAUCUAUACAUGGUACUAUUUAUUAAACGUAUAUAUACUUGACUCCACAUAUCCAUAACUGCAGUCAGUCUGGAUCCUACUUCCACGGACACUGAUUAAGUGAUUAUUCUUUCCACUAGCAUCAUUUACUUUAAUGUACAAUUAGAUAUUUAGGAAGAAAUUUCUGGUUUCAAAUUAUGAAUCUCCCCUUAGGUUGACUAUAACAAAGUCGCAACCUAAGUUGAAUCAAAUGGUAAGCGCGUAAAGUGUUUUUUUCACAAUGGCCAUAAACAAUUGCUUCGAGGAUGGCCAAAAAACACUUAGCUGAUCAGAUUUACUGUAUUUUCAACAAUCUGGAUUGGCAGAAUGAUCUGUGUCAUUUCCCAACUUUGUUUUUAUAAAUGAUAUAACUCCUAGUUUGUUGGUAGCAGACCUGUUUGAUAGCUAAACCACUAUCUCCCGUCUAACUCACCUUCAGCAACUCAAAUUUUUUAUUUUUCUUAUUUCUGAUCAAAGGAAUGACAUCUUUUUAAAUCCUAACUAUUAUUAGCACGAUAUUGGAAAUCUUAUUGCUAUUACUCAAACAAGCAUGAAACUUCUGGGGUUUUCAACAGAUGAACGGCUAACUAGAUCUGAUUUGUCAGAUCAACAUGAAAGGCAUUUGCAGUGGCAGCAUCUGUUGUCUUUCGGGUUUGGUAAGGGGAGCAGUUCAUAGAGCUUAUAGAUGCUUAUUUGACUGUACUGAUACUGCAGACUGUUCCAUUGUUCUUUCUUGCUGCAAGCUUUGGCUAGAUAACAUCAUUGUGAUUCACGAUAUUCAGAACUUUAGUGUUAGUAAUGUUUUAUCUGGAUAUUCAGAUCUUUAGUUUUAGUAAUGUUUUAUCAGGAUAUUCAGAACUCUACUUAUUGUCAACAAUGUUAUCCAUUUUGUCACUUACUCAUUCAAAAGGAAAUAACUGUUGAGCGAUAACUCUUCAUAAAAUACACUCUCCAUAAGAUAAGCAGCUAAUCUUCUCGACUCUCAAAUUGGUUCAUAACAAAAUGUGAUCGUCAUUGUAGGAGAAAAUAGUUGAUGUAUAAUUAGAUAACAGUUAAAUGCCCUUGUUUUUAGGCAUAUUCGAAUGCUUUUGUUAGGUACUUGAUGCUAUCAGUUGCUACCAACUUGCUGUUGCAAGAUCUCUAGUGUAUAGUAAUCUUUGUUGGGAUAGGCAGCCACUCAAUCGACUCCUAAUCUUUAAUAAGGGAAUCAGACAUUUGUAUUUACGAUGUUGCCUAUGGGGAUGACAUUCUCUUUCUGUAAAUCCUAGCAGUUUUAGCACUUCCCCUCUUUCUGAACGAUUAAAUAACACUACAAAAGCCUUUAGAGUCAGAGUAGCAAAUUUCUGAUGCAAUAAUAUCACAACAGGACUACAGGAGCCUUUUGAGUAGGCAUAGGAAGCUUAUCUUUUCAUGUGGUAGCAGGUUCCACUAUUUAUAGUAGUAUUAUCUUUUUCCUUUGCAAAGAAUCUCUAUUACCGAUGUUUUACUAGUGUGCCUCAUAAUUUUGAGUUUUAAUUUAUCAGUUGGACCUUGUGGCCAUUGAAUCAGUUCUAGGAGCUGUCACCUCACCCUCUAGUAUUGGCAAUUACUUGGUUCAUGAGGUGAAAAGCAUUUGCCUUCUCUUUGCUUUCAUUUGAGGUCGCUAUCCUGCUUUAAUCAAAUAUUUGAUUGAUUUGCCUGUUUCAAAUUUGUGCUAAUUGUUUUUCCAUAGUGGCCCAAUUUAAGGGUGAAAUGGUAUUCCUUUCAGCAGAGCUAGGGAUAAGGAAGAAACUCAAAACAAAAGCUUUAGAGAAAUAACAAGCUUUCAAAUAGAAGAG
rnacentral:lncRNA from 1 species